rnacentral:rRNA from 1 species
UACAGAGGUCUCAAGCGUUGUUCGGAUUCAUUGGGCGUAAAGGGUGCGUAGGUGGCGAGGUUAGUCAGGUGUGAAAUCUCGGGGCUCAACCCCGAAACUGCACUUGAUACUGCCUUGCUAGAGUACUGGAGAGGAGAUUGGAAUUUACGGUGUAGCAGUGAAAUGCGUAGAUAUCGUAAGGAAGACCAGUGGCGAAGGCGGGUCUCUGGACAGUUCCUGACGCUGAGGCACGAAGGCCAGGGGAGCAAACGGG